CGAGUUUGGACGUUCAACGCCACUUUAAGAAGAUAAUUCGAGUAGACGAGUUGGAGAACGUAAAUAGUUUAUUCGAAAAGAUAUUAGAAACUUAUUAUUCUUUAGAAUGAUUACCCGACAACUGAUCAGGAGAUUCACAACAAGCGCCGUACGAAGAUCGGAUCACGAGGGUGAUGGUAUACCCGGUCACAAUUUACCGUUCCCGAUAAAAAACAAGCUCUUGUUGACCAUGAUAUUUUGCGCCUUUUUUGGAAGUGGCUUCUCAUUACCAUUCAUAUCUGUUCGCUAUAAUAUGCUGAAAUAAAUUAUAUUUUAUUAAUACUUAGUAAAGUUAAAUGCGCAUCAAUGGUCUACACACUUAGAAAUGAAUAUCUGUAGUGUUAUAUGUUAAUUGUUUAUUCGAAUCUAUUGUACAUUAUAUGUACAUUUAACAAGGCAAUAUUAAAUCAUGUUAUUAUGUAAUAUUAAA